AAACUAUUUCCUUGGUAGCUGCAUGUUUGCCACAUCUUACUAAAUUGGUGUCAAUCUCAAGCGAAGAACAAUGUGUUGUGGCAUCACAAGAAAUUAAAACCCAAAUAGGCUCGAAGUUUAUUAAAUACUGACUUGAAACAACCAAACAAACAGAAAACACUCUGUGGUGACUCAUGGAAAAACUCUGCAUCAUAGUCACCAGCUGGCAAACAGGAAUCAAGACAACAUUGUGCCUGAUGCUGCCCAUCCCCUGGAUCUCGUGUAGCUGCUACUGACAGAAACAACAAUAAAGACCAUAGUUCUCCUCUCAAUUUUCAGUGAGCUAAAGAAAACAACAAUAGCAAUGGACGUAAAUAUGGUCUGUUCAACAUUUGAUCCCAUUCCUCUUUUCACUAAGCACAGCUCCCCAUUGCUGCCACCCAGAGAGGAGCAGAGUCGCUCUGAAAUCCAUCAGCUGGGACCUGAACCAAAGGUUACACUCUGAACAACAAAGUCAAGCACACCAUGCAGAGGGCUGAUACGAUAGACCCUAACAAAAAGACUUCACACCAGGCUAACACUAAUAGGAAACUGCUGAAUAUUCAUUAAGCCCCUCUGAACCAGCAAUAUUUUAGUUAUCGUGAGAUCAA
rnacentral:lncRNA from 1 species